rnacentral:rRNA from 1 species
AUUGAACGCUGGCGGCAUGCCUUACACAUGCAAGUCGAACGGUAACAGGUCUUCGGAUGCUGACGAGUGGCGAACGGGUGAGUAAUACAUCGGAACGUGCCUAGUAGUGGGGGAUAACUACUCGAAAGAGUGGCUAAUACCGCAUGAGAUCUACGGAUGAAAGCAGGGGAUCGCAAGACUCUGUGCUACUAGAGCGGCCGGUGGCAGAUUAGGUAGUUGGUGGGAUAAAAGCUUACCAAGCCGACGAUCUGUAGCUGGUCUGAGAGGACGAUCAGCCACACUGGGACUGAGACACGGCCCAGACUCCUACGGGAGGCAGCAGUGGGGAAUUUUGGACAAUGGGCGCAAGCCUGAUCCAGCAAUGCCGCGUGCAGGAUGAAGGCCUUCGGGUUGUAAACUGCUUUUGUACGGAACGAAAAGCCCUGGGUUAAUACCCUGGGGUCAUGACGGUACCGUAAGAAUAAGCACCGGCUAACUACGUGCCAGCAGCCGCAGUAAAAC